rnacentral:rRNA from 1 species
AGUGAACGCUGGCGGUAGGCCUAACACAUGCAAGUCGAACGGCAGCACAGUAAGAGCUUGCUCUUACGGGUGGCGAGUGGCGGACGGGUGAGGAAUACAUCGGAAUCUACUUUUUCGUGGGGGAUAACGUAGGGAAACUUACGCUAAUACCGCAUACGACCUACGGGUGAAAGCAUGGGAUCUUCGGACCUUGCGCGAUUGAAUGAGCCGAUGUCGGAUUAGCUAGUUGGCGGGGUAAAGGCCCACCAAGGCGACGAUCCGUAGCUGGUCUGAGAGGAUGAUCAGCCACACUGGAACUGAGACACGGUCCAGACUCCUACGGGAGGCAGCAGUGGGGAAUAUUGGACAAUGGGCGCAAGCCUGAUCCAGCCAUACCGCGUGGGUGAAGGAGGCCUUCGGGUUGUAAAGCCCUUUUGUUGGGAAAGAAAAGCAGCAGGUUAAUACCCCGCUGUUCUGACGGUACCCAAAGAAUAAGCACCGGCUAACUUCGUG